UGUAGUCAUAUGGCUUGUCUCAAAGAUUAAGCCAUGCAUGUCUAAGUAUAAGCAAUUAUACAGCGAAACUGCGAAUGGCUCAUUAUAUAAGUUAUCGUUUACUUGAUAGCACAUUACUACUUGGAUAACCGUGGUAAUUCUAGAGCUAAUACAUGCUAAAAAUCCCGACUUCGGAAGGGAUGUAUUUAUUAGAUUAAAAACCAAUGCCCUUUGGGCUUCCUGGUGAUUCAUGAUAACUUCUCGAAUCGCAUGGCCUUGCGCCGGCGAUGGUUCAUUCAAAUUUCUUCCCUAUCAACUUUCGAUGCGAAGGUAUUGUCUUCGCAUGGUUACAACGGGUAACGGAGGGUUAGGGCUCGACCCCGGAGAAGGAGCCUGAGAAACGGCUACUACAUCCAAGGAAGGCAGCAGGCGCGCAAAUUACCCAAUCCCGACACGGGGAGGUAGUGACAAUAAAUACUGAUACAGGGCUCUUUUGGGUCUUGUAAUUGGAAUGAGUACAAUUUAAAUCCCUUAACGAGGAACAAUUGGAGGGCAAGUCUGGUGCCAGCAGCCGCGGUAAUUCCAGCUCCAAUAGCGUAUAUUAAAGUUGUUGUGGUUAAAAAGCUCGUAGUUGAACCUUGGGCCUGGCUGGCCGGUCCCCCUCACCGGGUGCACUGAUCCAGCCGGGCCUUUCCCUCUGUGGAACCCCAUGGCCUUCGCUGGUCGUGGCGGGGAAACAGGACUUUUACUUUGAAAAAAUUAGAGUGCUCCAGGCAGGCCUAUGCUCGAAUACAUUAGCAUGGAAUAAUAAAAUAGGACGCGUGGUUCUAUUUUGUUGGUUUCUAGGACCGCCGUAAUGAUUAAUAGGGACAGUCGGGGGCAUCAGUAUUCAAUUGUCAGAGGUGAAAUUCUUGGAUCUAUUGAAGACUAACUACUGCGAAAGCAUUUGCCAAGGAUGUUUUCAUUGAUAAGGAACGAAAGUUAGGGGAUCGAAGACGAUCAGAUACCGUCGUAGUCUUAACUAUAAACUAUGCCGACUAGGGAUCGGACGAUGUUAUCUUUUGACUCGUUCGGCACCUUUCGAGAAAUCAAAGUGCUUGGGCUCCAGGGGGAGUAUGGUCGCAAGGCUGAAACUUAAAGAAAUUGACGGAAGGGCACCACCAGGGGUGGAACCUGCGGCUUAAUUUUGACUCAACACGGGGAAACUCACCAGGUCCAGACACAGUGAGGAUUGACAGAUUGAGAGCUCUUUCUUGAUUCUGUGGGUGGUGGUGCAUGGCCGUUCUUAGUUGGUGGAGUGAUUUGUCUGCUUAAUUGCGAUAACGAACGAGACCUUAACCUGCUAAAUAGCCCGUAUUGCUUUGGCAGUACGCUGGCUUCUUAGAGGGACUAUCGGCUCAAGCCGAUGGAAGUUUGAGGCAAUAACAGGUCUGUGAUGCCCUUAGAUGUCCUGGGCCGCACGCGCGUUACACUGACAAAGCCAGCGAGUAUUUCCUUGGCCGGAAGGCCCGGGUAAUCUUGUUAAACUUUGUCGUGCUGGGGAUAGAGCAUUGCAAUUAUUGCUCUUCAACGAGGAAUCCCUAGUAAGCGCAAGUCAUCAGCUUGCGUUGAUUACGUCCCUGCCCUUUGUACACACCGCCCGUCGCUACUACCCGAUUGAAUGGCUCAGUGAGGUCUUCGGACUGACCCAGGGAGGUGGGAAACUACCACCCAGGGCCGGAAAGUUGCCCAAACUCGGUCAUUUAGAGGAA
rnacentral:rRNA from 2 species